GGGAACGUGCCCUUCGGUUCGGAAUAACUCAGGGAAACUUGAGCUAAUACCGGAUACGCCCUUAUGGGGAAAGGUUUACUGCCGAAGGAUCGGCCCGCGUCUGAUUAGCUAGUUGGUGAGGUUAUGGCUCACCAAGGCGACGAUCAGUAGCUGGUCUGAGAGGAUGAUCAGCCACACUGGGACUGAGACACGGCCCAGACUCCUACGGGAGGCAGCAGUGGGGAAUAUUGGACAAUGGGGGCAACCCUGAUCCAGCCAUGCCGCGUGAGUGAUGACGGCCUUAGGGUUGUAAAGCUCUUUUCUCCGGGACGAUAAUGACGGUACCGGAGGAAUAAGCCCCGGCUAACUUCGUGCCAGCAGCCGCGGUAAUACGAAGGGGGCUAGCGUUGCUCGGAAUCACUGGGCGUAAAGGGCGCGUAGGCGGCUGAUUUAGUCGAGGGUGAAAGCCCGUGGCUCAACCACGGAAUGGCCUUCGAUACUGGUUGGCUUGAGACCGGAAGAGGACAGCGGAACUGCGAGU
rnacentral:rRNA from 1 species